rnacentral:rRNA from 1 species
UAAGCAUUCAAUAAGCGGAGGAAAAGAAACUAACAAGGAUUCCCCUAGUAACUGCGAGUGAAGCGGGAAAAGCUCAAAUUUAAAAUCUGAUAGUCUUUGGCUGUCCGAGUUGUAAUCUAGAGAAGUGCUGCCCGCGCUGGACCGUGUACAAGUCUCCUGGGAUGGAGCGUCAUAGAGGGUGAGAAUCCCGUCUCUGACACGGACUACCAGGGCUUUGUGGUACGCUCUCAAAGAGUCGAGUUGUUUGGGAAUGCAGCUCAAAAUGGGUGGUAAAUUCCAUCUAAAGCUAAAUAUUGGCGAGAGACCGAUAGCGAACAAGUACCGUGAGGGAAAGAUGAAAAGAACUUUGGAAAGAGAGUUAAACAGUACGUGAAAUUGCUGAAAGGGAAACGCUUGAAGUCAGUCGCGUUGGCCGGGAAUCAGCCUUGCUCUUUUGCAUGGUGUACUUCCUGGUUGAUGGGUCAGCAUCAAUUUUGACCGCUGGAAAAAGGCUUGAGGAAUGUGGCAGCUUCGGCUGUGUUAUAGCUUCUUGUCACAUACAGCGGUUGGGAUUGAGGAACUCAGCACGCCGCAAGGCCGGGUUUCGACCACGUUCGUGCUUAGGAUGCUGGCAUAAUGGCUUUAAGCGACCCGUCUUGAAACACGGACCAAGGAGUCUAACAUGCCUGCGAGUGUUUGGGUGGAAAACCCGAGCGCGUAAUGAAAGUGAAAGUUGAGAUCCCUGUCGUGGGGAGCAUCGACGCCCGGACCAGAACUUUUGGGACGGAUCCGCGGUAGAGCAUGUAUGUUGGGACCCGAAAGAUGGUGAACUAUGCCUGAAUAGGGUGAAGCCAGAGGAAACUCUGGUGGAGGCUCGUAGCGAUUCUGACGUGCAAAUCGAUCGUCAAAUUUGGGUAUAGGGGCGAAAGACUAAUCGAACCAUCUAGUAGCUGGUUCCUGCC